GGAUGCCUGGUUAUGUUUGAAUGUCCAAUAAAUGACAAAUAAUUAUUUAGUGUAAGUAUGUCCCAUGCAAUCUUUGGGACAUACUUACACUAAAAAAUUAUUUGUUGUUUGAUGAAAUUCUAAUUUAACUGGAUGGC
rnacentral:miRNA from 1 species